UACGGAGGGGGCUAGCGUUGUUCGGAAUUACUGGGCGUAAAGCGCGCGUAGGCGGCUUUGUAAGUUAGAGGUGAAAGCCCGGAGCUCAACUCCGGAAUUGCCUUUAAGACUGCAUCGCUAGAAUCAUGGAGAGGUGAGUGGAAUUCCGAGUGUAGAGGUGAAAUUCGUAGAUAUUCGGAAGAACACCCGUGGCGAAGGCGGCUCUCUGGGACGGUACUGACGCUGAGACGCGAAAGCGUGGGGAGCGAACAGG
rnacentral:rRNA from 1 species